rnacentral:lncRNA from 10 species
GGACCUCACACACAGGAGGUAUUGUGACAUAUUCCUGGAGCAAGUACCCAGUGAUUGUGACAUAUCAUCAAACCCAGCAACUAGACGAUGUGAUUUUUCUUCCCUGCUUGAGCCCUGGAUAUGCUGUGUAUUGUGAUAUAUGGCUGGGUCCAACAUCAAGGAGAGAUUAUGACAUAUCUCUGGAACCAGAACCUUAGUGAUGUGACUCUUGUCUCCUGCUGAAGCCAUGCCCACACAAGGGAAAGUGACUCAUCACUGGACCCAGCACACAGGUGAUGUAAUUCUUCUGCCUUGUUUUUGUACCCAGGAGCCAUUGUAAUCCAUCUCUGGGCCCAUCAUUUAAAUGAUGUGACUAUCCUUUUCUUCCUGAGCCCUAUUCACAGGGAAAAUAGUGACACAUCUGUGGGCUUCUCACCGAAAUGAUGUGACUUUCCUUCCUGGGCUCACCUCUCAAGGGAAUUUUGACAUAUUACUGGACCAAGCACCUAGGUGAUGUGGCUCUGACAAACGAGAAAUUGUGAUGUACCACUGUUCCACACCUAAGAGAUCUGACUCUCUUUUCAUGAGCCCUGCAUUUAUUGUGUAUUGUGACAUAUGGCUUGGUCCAACGCCUAGGUGAUGUGACUCUCUACUUCUUCCUCGGCCAUGCCAAAGAAGAGGAUUGUGACAUAUCACUGGAUCCAGCACUUAGGUGAUGUAAAUCUUUUCUUUUGCUGAGCCAUGCAUAUUUUUGGUAUUGUGACAUGUAGCUGGACCGAACACCUACAGGACUGGAUCAGAGGCUACUUAAUAAGCCCUGCCCAUAGGCGGCCUUGUGACAUAUGUCUGCAUCUAUCACCAAAGUGAUGUGACUCUUUUUCUGCCUGCAUCCUGCACAUAGAGAAGAUUGUGACAUAUCGCUGGGCCCAGUAACCAGGUGAUGUGUCUUUUCUGGCAGGUCUUUUCCCACAGGGAGCAUUGUAAAAUAUCACUGGGCUCGGCCACCAGGUUAUGUGACCCUUCUGCCUGUGCCCUGCUUCCUGGAAAUGUGACAUUCCUCAUACAGCACCCAGGAGACAUGCCCAAAAAAGGGAUUGUGGCAUAACUCUGAGCCCAGCACCCAAAUGUUGUGACUCUCCUGCCUGAGCUCCUACCUAUGAGAGUCACAGAAGAUUAUGACACUUAUGGAAAUUACAUAAAGCCCUCUGGCAGUCCAAAGUUUUAUCCCAGGGCCCAGUAUGCAAGUGAGAUUGUGACUUUAAUACGCAGACAAAGCUAACACUUAGUAUUGUCA